AACGCUAGCUACAGGCUUAACACAUGCAAGUCGAGGGGCAGCAUGAACUUAGCUUGCUAAGUUUGAUGGCGACCGGCGCACGGGUGAGUAACGCGUAUCCAACCUUCCGUACACUCAGGAAUAGCCUUUCGAAAGAAAGAUUAAUACCCGAUGGUAUAAAGAGUUCGCAUGUUCUCUUUAUUAAAGAAUUUCGGUAAGCGAUGGGGAUGCGUUCCAUUAGAUAGUUGGCGGGGUAACGGCCCACCAAGUCUACGAUGGAUAGGGGUUCUGAGAGGUUGGUCCCCCACACUGGUACUGAGACACGGACCAGACUCCUACGGGAGGCAGCAGUGAGGAAUAUUGGUCAAUGGGCGGGAGCCUGGACCAGCCAAGUCGCGUGAAGGAAGAAGGAUCUAUGGUUCGUAAACUUCUUUUGCAGGGGAAUAAAGUGCAGGACGUGUCCUGUUUUGUAUGUACCCUGAGAAUAAGGAUCGGCUAACUCCGUGCCAGCAGCCGCGGUAAUACGGAGGAUCCGAGCGUUAUCCGGAUUUAUUGGGUUUAAAGGGUGCGUAGGUGGUUUGAUAAGUCAGCGGUGAAAGUUUGCAGCUUAACUGUAAAAAUGCCGUUGAAACUGUCGGACUUGAGUGUAAAUGAGGUAGGCGGAAUGCGUGGUGUAGCGGUGAAAUGCUUAGAUAUCACGAAGAACUCCGAUUG
rnacentral:rRNA from 1 species